rnacentral:rRNA from 1 species
UACAGAGGGUGCGAGCGUUGUUCGGAACUAUUGGGCGUAAAGGGCGCGUAGGCGGCCUGGCAAGUGGAAGGUGAAAUCCCUCGGCUUAACCGAGGAACUGCCCUCCAAACUGCUUGGCUUGAGUCCGGGAGAGGUGAGUGGAAUUCCCAGUGUAGCGGUGAAAUGCGUAGAUAUUGGGAGGAACACCAGUGGCGAAGGCGGCUCACUGGACCGGAACUGACGCUGAUGCGCGAAAGCGUGGGGAGCAAACGGG